CCUACGGGAGGCAGCAGUGAGGAAUAUUGGUCAAUGGGCGCGAGCCUGAACCAGCCAAGUAGCGUGAGGGAAGACGGUCCUAUGGAUUGUAAACCUCUUUUGUCGGGGAGCAAAAGACGCCACGCGUGGCGUUCCGAGAGUACCCGUAGAACAAGCAUCGGCUAACUCCGUGCCAGCAGCCGCGGUAAUCCGGAGGAUGCGGGCGUUAUCCGGCUUUCUUGGGUUGAAAGGGUGCGCAGGCGGAAGAUCAAGUCGGCGGUAAAAUUGAGAGGCUCAACCUCUUCGAGCCGUUGAAACUGGUUGUCUUGAGUGAGUGAGAGGUAGGCGGAAUGCGUGGUGUAGCGGUGAAAUGCAUAGAUAUCACGCAGAACUCCGAUUGCGAAGGCAGCAUACCGGAGCGCAACUGACGCUCAUGCACGAAAGUGUGGGUAUCGAACAGGAUUAGAUACCCCGGUAGUC
rnacentral:rRNA from 1 species